rnacentral:rRNA from 1 species
ACUCCUACGGGAGGCAGCAGUGGGGAAUAUUGGACAAUGGGCGCAAGCCUGAUCCAGCCAUGCCGCGUGAGUGAUGAAGGCCUUAGGGUUGUAAAGCUCUUUCGCCGGUGAAGAUAAUGACGGUAACCGGAGAAGAA